CGGGUGUGGAUCGUUUUCUGCCCCUGGGGCCUGGGUGGGAAGCGGGAAGACCGAGAAGCCGGUGGCCCACGCAGUCUUCUGCCAUUGUCGCACCCCCUGCGGCCUGCAGCGGCACCCCCGGGACCCUCGCAGCCGAAAUACAGAAACCAGGCCCUGCCUGAACAAAAAAAAAGGCACUGGCUGCCGAGACUCAUGAGUAGGGCCUUCUGCGCAAACAUCAGGUAGAAGCCACGGAUAGUAUUGUGAGGGGUGCUGAAAUUUGAUGCUCUCGGUGGGUUGUGAACAGCCCCAAAGCUUCUGGAGACACGGGGAAGGGCGUGGCUCCUUCCCGGUGGUGGGCGCAUUGGUGCGAGUUGGAAGGCCCAUCCCAGACCUUGUGCCCCACUCAACUAGGAUGCGGAGAGACAUUACCUGGUGCCAGCCUGACGCGAGAAAGAGAAGUAAACAAUCAAACUGUGCUGUGUGGUGAGAGCUCUCGAGCUCCAGAAAAGGCCUGAGCCAGGGGGCAUCUCAGAGGAGGUGACUGAGGGACUGAGAAGGUAUCCCCUGCAUCCACAGGGAUGUGGGGGGCAGGGCGGGCUCAGGGCGCUGCCGACCCCGGGGGUCUGCAGGCUGCCAGGUGCCAGAACGCCUGAGAUCCCAAGCCAUCGAAAUGAAGGCAACUGCCGUGGAGAGGUCAAGGACAACUGCACUGGAAGAGUGAACGCCCUGACCACAGCGGGCCAGAGAAGCGGCUCCGGGAUCAGCACCUGGACUGAACACACUGCUCAUCACACCCCUGACUCCUUCCUUCGGCCGCGGCAUUUUCUGGAGGGCCCGCAGUCAUCCAACCCCGGCCAGGAUGCCGCUUUGGCUUACAGAACCUCCGUAACCCCGUGUCCUCUGGAUCACCCCGGGCCCCCCCCCCACCCCCCCCCAGGACGGUCGUCACCAUCACUGAGGCUGGAAGCACCACGGUGGUGGGCGACAUCUGGUGCGCACUCAGCACGUAGGAGGUGCUGGCCUCGCCCUUUGGGCGCUUCUCUGAAGGAUGGAAAAAUCGAUGCCCGCAGAAGAGCGGGUGCAGGGAAGAUUAAAAAAAAAAAAGAAGAAGAGGCUUCGAUGAAUAUCCUUGCCAAGAAAUCCUCAACAAAUCCGCCGUUAUUAAUUCUGACUAAUUUCUAGGAGGAAAGUUAUACACGUUUCAGGACCAGUAUGUUCUACAUUCGCCCAACUGCCCUCCAGAAACCUCCUGGCCACUCUCUGGUUACAGCUGAGAUUGGCUCAGCACCUCGUCAGAUGCUCACAUGCUUGCUGCGGCAAGAGAAAGAGAAUCGGAGAGUUCUGUACCAGCAAUUAAGGGCCUCUGCCUGGAAAUGACACCCAUCGCUUCAGCACAUGGCCCUGCCUCAGCCCACUGGAAAGUGCAAUCCCAGCCCGGAAGGCAGACUGGAAAGAUGGGCAAGCAUUGUAGAUGUCACCAUAAACCCAUUAAGAAAGCAUCCUUUCGUUGCUGAUGUUAUCCCGGGGACCCUAAAAGUCGACUUGAAAAGCCAUGAGGUCUUGGCCGUGGGAUGAGCAGCCCAGGAGGCUGGCGAAGAGAGAACGGUGAAGUCACGCGUUCACGGCCCCUGACGACUCGUGUCCCCAUUGGAGCCCGGCUGCCCGCGUUACCCUUCAAUUCCACGAAGUCUCUGCGCGCUUACAACCAAUCUCUCCCUUUCCUGUUUCUUGCACACAGUGUCGCCCGGAGUUAUCUGCUGCCAUUUUGUUUGGGAUUUCUAUCCUAUUCCUAAGCAAGACUGCUCUGUAGUUUUCUGCCCACUCUUCGUUGUAGGGUUCUACAUUCUUAAGAGAGCUGGGGGACACUUUCUGUCUUUCCUGUGCCCCGAAACGGAAUAUCUGACAUCUGUGAAUAGUUGGAAAAGCGUUAAGACCCAACCCUUCUCUGGGAGGUAGCUCUUCUCUUACCCUUUCAAUUUACUCUCUAGUAAGAGAUGUUGCGGCUUUCUUCUACUUGUUGGAUUGGGUUUGGUUCUACAUAUUUUCCUAUAAAAAUAUCUGCGUAUUCAUAUUUUCAAAUUUAUUAUCGUAAGGCUUUCCUUAAUAUAAUUUGACUUUUAAAAUAUUUUCAUUCCUUUUGUACAUCCAUUUCCCUCUGCUUAUUAUCUUUGGAUCUGCUGGAAGUUUACCUGAUUUAUUAGACUUUCAAAAAGAACAAGUCGUAGAUUUAUCUUUCAUUUCUAGUGGUUUUCUCUUUCCUAAUUUAUGAAACUCUGCUUUUUAUUUGUAUUGACUCCCACCCUUUCUUCUUUCAGGAACUCACGAUAUUGAGCUAUGAAUUUUCCUCCUUAUAACAUUUUAACCACCUUCCCAUAUGCUUAGAUACAUGCUAUGUGCAGUGUUUUUUUUUUUUUUUAAACUAGUUUGUCAUGGAGGGUUCUAUGUAGCGUUAUUUACAAAAGUGGUUUUUAAUUUUCAGACGGCUGGCUUUUUAAUUUAAAAACUUUGGUUAAUAAUUUCCAGCUUAAUUGCCCAGUGGUCAAACCGUGAGGCUUUCACCAUAUCUGCUUUGGGGAUUAUAUUGAGUUUUUCUUUAUGGCCUCAUAUAUGAUCAAUUUUCAUAAAUGUUUGAUGGAGUCUGGCAAAUAAAUGAGUAUCUUUUAUUUGCAAGGUACAGAGUUCAGUUAUUAAGUCAACCUUGUUAAUUAUAUUCUUCCAAUCCCACACGAAUGUGUUGAGGGGGGUGGGGUGCGAUUUAAAUAUGUCAAAGACAGACAUAUCUUUGUCGUUGUUUUUGUUUGUCCCUCUCUGUGUGUCUAAGUUAUUGUUCUCCCGGUUGGAUCUAAUGCUGUAGGGGACAUAAACCAGAUCUUGUAUUUGAUUCUGACUUGUACUCUUUAUCAAUACAAAUGACCCUCUG